CAGCGUCCAAACGCGAGAUGGCGUUGAUUCUAAAUAUCUUUCGCUGUUUAACUUACGAGCAAAAUAUAUUCCGUGCAUAUACUUGGACGAAAGUUUGUGAGAUCAAAAAAAAAAACGCGAUACGUAUAGUAAUUAUAAUUUAAAAAUCGUUUAAGCGGGAGUAUAUGAUAAUGAUUGCAUAAAGAGGGAAAAUAAAGAAAGAAUCCGAGAAAUAUAUAUAUUACUAUACGUAUAAUAUUUAAUUAAUUAAUAUCCAGUCAUUCUUAUUUGAAAACCAUUUUUCGCGUUGAGAAAAAACUUUUGAUACAUCGAAGACUAAUUUUAAUGAAAUGGAAUGAUUUACGUCGAUCAUAUUCAAUCAAUCGAAAAGGGAAAAAAAAAAAAGAAGAAAAAGAAGAGAAUCGAUGGAUGAAAUGCGUCGAUGUUGUUUAAAAAUGUAGCUGAUAAUUUUGUCUUACGAUACAAAACAACGCAUUGUUGAAAUUGCAUAUAAUAUAAAUACAAGAAUGAAAUCGAACGAUGGAAGAAUCUCUGAUAUUUAUCGUUAUUAAAAGAAUUUAUAUUCAGAUAUAUAAAAGAUGACACUGAUCUCGAGAAUAACUUGCUUUUAACAAAAAAUAUUAGUACAACUUUCAAAAUCAAAUAUGAUUAGAAAUAUCCGAAUUUAUAUCCGAGUAGUAGAACGCCAACCAUCCAAGUACUCAAACUUCGAAAUCAAACUCGAUAUUACUUGGUAAUAAAAAAUUCUGUCAUAUUCUACCUAAAUAUACUCGGAGAUAAGAGAUGAUUCUAUGAAAUAUC